UACGUAGGGUGCGAGCGUUGUCCGGAAUUAUUGGGCGUAAAGAGCUCGUAGGCGGUCUGUCGCGUCGAUCGUGAAAACUUGGGGCUCAACCCCGAGCCUGCAGUCGAUACGGGCAGACUAGAGUGCUGUAGGGGAGACUGGAAUUCCUGGUGUAGCGGUGAAAUGCGCAGAUAUCAGGAGGAACACCGGUGGCGAAGGCGGGUCUCUGGGCAGUAACUGACGCUGAGGAGCGAAAGCGUGGGGAGCGAACAGG
rnacentral:rRNA from 1 species